rnacentral:rRNA from 1 species
CGAGCGGUAUGGAUAGCUUGCUAUCCAGAGAGCGGCGUACGGGUGCGUAACACGUGUGCAACCUGCCUUUAUCUGGGGGAUAGCCUUUCGAAAGGAAGAUUAAUACCCCAUAAUAUGGUGUCCGGCAUCGGUCGCCAUUGAAAGCCUCGGCGGAUAGAGAUGGGCACGCGCAAGAUUAGAUAGUUGGCGGGGUAACGGCCCACCAAGUCGAUGAUCUUUAGGGGUCCUGAGAGGGAGAUCCCCCACACUGGUACUGAGACACGGACCAGACUCCUACGGGAGGCAGCAGUGAGGAAUAUUGGACAAUGGGUGGAAGCCUGAUCCAGCCAUCCCGCGUGAAGGAUGACGGUUCUAUGGAUUGUAAACUUCUUUUGUACAGGGAUAAACCUGCCCUCGUGAGGGCAGCUGAAGGUACUGUACGAAUAAGCACCGGCUAACUCCGUGCCAGCAGCCGCGGUAAUACGGAGGGUGCGAGCGUUAUCCGGAUUUAUUGGGUUUAAAGGGUCCGUAGGCGGGCCUGUAAGUCAGUGGUGAAAUCUCAUAGCUUAACUAUGAAACUGCCAUUGAUACUGCAGGCCUUGAGUAAAUUUGAAGUGGCUGGAAUAAGUAGUGUAGCGGUGAAAUGCAUAGAUAUUACUUAGAACACCGAUUGCGAAGGCAGGUCACUAAGAUUUAACUGACGCUGAUGGACGAAAGCGUGGGGAGCGAACAGGAUUAGAUACCCUGGUAGUCCACGCCGUAAACGAUGCUAACUCGUUUUUGGAUCUUCGGGUUCAGAGACCAAGCGAAAGUGAUAAGUUAGCCACCUGGGGAGUACGUCCGCAAGGAUGAAACUCAAAGGAAUUGACGGGGGCCCGCACAAGCGGUGGAUUAUGUGGUUUAAUUCGAUGAUACGCGAGGAACCUUACCAAGACUUAAAUGGGAAUUGACAGAUUUAGAAAUAGAUCCUCCUUCGGGCAAUUUUCAAGGUGCUGCAUGGUUGUCGUCAGCUCGUGCCGUGAGGUGUUAGGUUAAGUCCUGCAACGAGCGCAACCCCUGCCAACAGUUGCCAUCAUUCAGUUGGGGACUCUGUUGGGACUGCCUACGCAAGUAGAGAGGAAGGUGGGGAUGACGUCAAAUCAUCACGGCCCUUACGUCUUGGGCCACACACGUAAUACAAUGGCCGGUACAGAGGGCAGCUACCUGGUGACAGGAUGCGAAUCUCGAAAGCCGGUCUCAGUUCGGAUUGGAGUCUGCAACUCGACUCUAUGAAGCUGGAAUCGCUAGUAAUCGCGCAUCAGCCAUGGCGCGGUGAAUACGUUCCCGGGCCUUGUACACACCGCCCGUCAAGCCAUGGAAGUCUGGGGUACCUGAAGUCGGUGACC